rnacentral:rRNA from 1 species
CAGUAGCCACGGGAAUACAGAGGGUGCAAGCGUUAAUCGGAUUUACUGGGCGUAAAGCGUGCGUAGGUGGCUGUUUAAGUCGGAUGUGAAAGCCCUGGGCUUAACCUGGGAACUGCAUUCGAUACUGGAUAGCUAGAGAUCGGUAGAGGGCAGCGGAAUUCCGGGUGUAGCGGUGAAAUGCGUAGAUAUCCGGAGAAACACCGAUGGCGAAGGCAACUGCCUGGGCCUGAUCUGACACUGAGGCACGAAAGCGUGGGUAGCAAACAGGAUUAGAUACCCCAGUAGUCCCUGUCUCUUAUAC